GAUGAACGCUGGCGGCGUGCCUAAUACAUGCAAGUCGAGCGAACAGACGAGGAGUUUGCUCCUCUGACGUUUGCGGCGGACGGGUGAGUAACACGUGGAUAACCUACCUAUAAGACUGGGAUAACUUCGGGAAACCGGUGCUAAUACCGGAUAAUAUAUUGAUCCGUAUGGUUCAAUAGUGAAAGACGGUUUUGCUGUCAUUUAUAGAUGGAUCCGCGCCGCAUUAGCUAGUUGUUAAGGUAACGGCUUACCAAGGCAACGAUGCGUAGCCGACCUGAGAGGGUGAUCGGCCACACUGGAACGGGGACACGGUCCAGACGCCUACGGGAGGCAGCAGUAGGGAAUCGUCCGCAGUGGGCGAGAGCAUGACGGAGCAAGGCCGCGUGAGUGAUGAAGGUGUUCGGAUCGUAAAACUCUGUUAUGAGGGAAGAACAAAUGUGUAAGUAAAUAUGCACGUCUUGACGGUAACUGAUCAGAAAGCCACGGCUAACUACGUG
rnacentral:rRNA from 1 species